GUGGGGAAUUUUGGACAAUGGGCGCAAGCCUGAUCCAGCAAUGCCGCGUGCAGGAAGAAGGCCUUCGGGUUGUAAACUGCUUUUGUACGGAACGAAACGGCUCUGGUUAAUACCCGGGGCUAAUGACGGUACCGUAAGAAUAAGCACCGGCUAACUACGUGCCAGCAGCCGCGGUAAUACGUAGGGUGCAAGCGUUAAUCGGAAUUACUGGGCGUAAAGCGUGCGCAGGCGGUUUUGUAAGACAGGCGUGAAAUCCCCGGGCGCAACCUGGGAAUGGCGCUUGUGACUGCAAAGCUGGAGUGCGGCAGAGGGGGAUGGAAUUCCGCGUGUAGCAGUGAAAUGCGUAGAUAUGCGGAGGAACACCGAUGGCGAAGGCAAUCCCCUGGGCCUGCACUGACGCUCAUGCACGAAAGCGUGGGGAGCAAACAGGAUUAGAAACCCCAGUAGUCC
rnacentral:rRNA from 1 species